rnacentral:rRNA from 2 species
GGUCCCGCCUGCCCAGUGACUCUUUAAACGGCCGCGGUAUCCUAACCGUGCAAAGGUAGCAUAAUCACUUGUCCCCUAAAUAGGGACUGGUAUGAAUGGCUAAAUGAGGACUAAACUGUCUCUUGCGAACUGGCCAAUGAAAUUGAUUUUCCAGUACAAAAGCUGGAAUAUACCCAUAAGACGAGAAGACCCUGUGGAGCUUCAAAACCAAAUCACCCAGCAUGCUUAUUGGAUUUUUAGUUGGGGCGACUUCGGAGUAUAAUAAAACCUCCAAAAUAAAUUAAUUUCAUCAAGAUUAACACACCAAAACUUCUUUAUAGACCCAGCAACUAACUUUGUUUGUCUGACCAAUGAACCAAGUUACCCCAGGGAUAACAGCGCAAUCUCCUUUUAGAGUCCAUAUCGACAAGGAG